rnacentral:rRNA from 1 species
AAUCCCGUGAACCAUCGAGUCUUUGAACGCAAGUUGCGCCCGAAGCCUUCGGGCCGAGGGCACGCCUGCCUGGGCGUCACGCAUCGCGUCGCCCCCUCCCCCCGCCGCUCCUCCCCGGAGCCGGGGGCGGAGAUUGGCCUCCCGUGCGCUCUAGUCGUGCGGCCGGCCC